UCUUUAAAUGUUCUAAUAUUGUCGGAUGCACACAAGAGGAUUCCCUUACUGACUAAAAGAGGUUGAGAACAUUAUGUUUCGUACCGAUAAUCCACCAUUCAAGUAUCAUAUGGAGAAGUUUACAAAGAUGAUUGUGCACAUGAUGAAGAGAGAGAAGUUAUAUGCAUCUUAGGGCGGUCCUAUUAUCCUAUCACAGAUUGAAAACAAAUAUAACAUUAUCGAGCUUGCAUUUAAGGAGAAGGGAGCAUCUUAUGUUUAAGGGAUCGGAAACAUGGAAGUUGGGCUAAAGACUGGAGUGCCAUGGGUGAUGUGUAAGCAAAGAGAUGCCC